AACGCGAAGAACCUUACCUAAGCUUGACAUCCUUUUGACCGAUGCCUAAUCGCAUCUUUCCCUUCGGGGACAGAAGUGACAGGUGGUGCAUGGUUGUCGUCAGCUCGUGUCGUGAGAUGUUGGGUUAAGUCCCGCAACGAGCGCAACCCUUGCCUUUAGUUGCCAGCAUUAAGUUGGGCACUCUAGAGGGACUGCCAGGGAUAACCUGGAGGAAGGUGGGGAUGACGUCAAAUCAUCAUGCCCCUUAUGCUUAGGGCUACACACGUGCUACAAUGGGUGGUACAGAGGGCAGCCAAGUCGUGAGGCCGAGCUAAUCCCUUAAAGCCAUUCUCAGUUCGGAUUGUAGGCUGAAACUCGCCUACAUGAAGCUGGAGUUACUAGUAAUCGCAGAUCAGAAUGCUGCGGUGAAUGCGUUCCCGGGCCUGUACACACCG
rnacentral:rRNA from 1 species